GAAAGCGAUGCUAAUACCGGAUAAUAUCUCAAUAACUCCGGUCUUUGAGAUCAAAGGUGGCCUCUCCAUGGAAGCUACUGUUUGGAGAUGAGCCCGCGUACCAUUAGCUUGUUGGUAGGGUAAUGGCCUACCAAGGCGACGAUGGUUAGCUGGUCUGAGAGGAUGAUCAGCCACACUGGAACUGACACACGGUCCAGACUCCUACGGGAGGCAGCAGUGAGGAAUUUUGUGCAAUGGGGGAAACCCUGACGCAGCAACGCCGCGUGAGUGAUGAAGGCUUUCGGGUCGUAAAGCUCUGUCAAGUGAGAAGAACCUGUCCUUUGCUAAUAUCACUGGACACUGACGGUAUCACUGAAGGAAGCACCGGCUAACUCCGUGCCAGCAGCCGCGGUAAUACGGAGGGUGCAAGCGUUAUUCGGAAUCACUGGGCGUAAAGAGCGCGUAGGCGGUUUCUAAAGUCAGAUGUGAAAGCCCGGGGCUCAACCCCGGAAGUGCAUUUGAAACUUAGGGACUUGAGUAUGGGAGAGGGAAGUGGAAUUCCUGGUGUAGCGGUGAAAUGCGUA
rnacentral:rRNA from 1 species